rnacentral:rRNA from 1 species
UACGAAGGGGGCUAGCGUUGUUCGGAAUUACUGGGCGUAAAGCGCACGUAGGCGGAUACUUAAGUCAGGGGUGAAAUCCCGGGGCUCAACCCCGGAAGGUCGGUGGAGACUGGGUUUCUUGAAAGGGCUAGGGGGAGAUGGAAUUACCGGUGUAGCGGUGAAAUGCGUAGAUAUCGGUAGGAACACCAGUGGCGAAGGCGGUCUCCUGGGGCCUGUUUGACGCUGGAGGCGCGGAAAGCCUGGGGGAGCGAACGGG